rnacentral:rRNA from 1 species
CACGUAGGGCGCAAGCGUUGUCCGGAAUUAUUGGGCGUAAAGAGCUCGUAGGUGGUUUGUUACGUCUGCUGUGAAAUCCUAGGGCUUAACCCUGGGCUUGCAGUGGAUACGGGCAGACUAGAGGUAGGUAGGGAGAAUGGAAUUCCUGGUGUAGCGGUGAAAUGCGCAGAUAUCAGGAGGAACACCGGUGGCGAAGGCGGAUCGCUGGGCCAACACUGACGCUGAUGUGCGAAAGCUAGGGGAGCAAACGGG